AUGCCGACAGACCACGCAGAGGCAGAGCCCGCCGGCGCCGGCGUCAGCCUGUCGCCGGAUGUGCUGGCCAACAUCCACGCCCGCCUGGCCUUCCCCGAGCGCCUCGCCUUCGCCGCCGUCUUCCGCGCCGAGCGCCACGCCUUCAGGCCCGAGGCGCCGUACCUCCUCCUCCCCGGCCGGACCCCCGGCCGGACCCCGGACACCGCCACGCUCUUCUCCGUUGCCGACCGCCGCGCCGCUGCCGUGCGCUCCCCGGCCCACGCCUUCAUCGGCUCCUCCCGCGGGUGGCUCGUCACCAUCGACACCGCCGCCGCCGCGGCGCUGCGCCUCGUCAACCCGGUGACUGGCGAGCAGCGCGCGCUCCCGGCCAUCACCACCAUCCCCUGCGUCCACGCGCUCGAGGGGGGCUCCCACUUGGAGUUCACGCUAGAGCCCUUCACCAGGGGCCCGCCGUACCCCGGCGGCCGCCAGCCGGUUGGCACCUUCACGCUGGCAGCCGAGCAGACGCGCGGCUUCCUCUACCGCAAGGUCGUCCUCGCCCCCGCCGCCGCCGCGGCCAUGCUGGUCACGGGCCCGUGCUUGGGCGUGCCGGCCUUCGCCACAGCGGAAGACGCCGCGUGGAGGCUGGCUCCCUCGCGCGACGGCGUGGAGGACGCCAUCCACCAUGAGGGCAGGUUCUACUCCGUCGGGUACUUGGGCGCCGUGGAGGCGUGGGAGCGCGACGCCGACACGGGCAAGUUCAGCAGCACGGCCGUCACGCCAAGGCUGACUAAUGAGGACAGCCAACCGUGGCGCCGACCCAAGUACCUCGUGGCGGCGCCGGGGCCGGCCGGGCGGCUGAUGGUGGUGCUCAAGGAGUUCAAGGAGACGACGACGGGCUGGUGUGGCCGGCGCGGGCGGACGUGGUCCUUCAAGGUGCAUGUGCUGGACGAAGGCCGGUGGAAGGAGACGGAGGACAUCGGAGAAGCGGCGCUGUUCGUUGGGGCGAACGAGUCGCUGUGCGUGUCCACCAGGGCGCGCCCGGAGCUCAGGACCGGCUGCGUCUACUACACCGACGACGACGAUCUGGAGCGAGCGUCGCCGAGCAAGGACGACGACCAGCUUGCUGUCGGGGUGUUCAGCCUCAAGGACGGCACGGUGAAGAAGGUGUGGGGGCUGGGGCGGCACCGGAGCUGGGCGCGGGUGUGGCUCACGCCUUCCCCUUCCAUCCCAUGA
rnacentral:rRNA from 1 species